GUGAGGAAUUUUCCGCAAUGGGCGAAAGCCUGACGGAGCAAUGCCGCGUGAAGGAUGAAGGCCUAUGGGUUGUAAACUUCUUUUCUUAGAGAAGAAUAUUGACGGUAUCUGAGGAAUAAGCACCGGCUAACUCCGUGCCAGCAGCCGCGGUAAUACGGAGGGUGCAAGCGUUAUCCGGAAUCAUUGGGUUUAAAGGGUCCGCAGGCGGGCUAUCAAGUCAGAGGUGAAAUCCCACAGCUUAACUGUGGAACUGCCUUUGAAACUGAUGGUCUUGAAUUAAGUGGGCGUUGGCGGAAUAUGACAUGUAGCGGUGAAAUGCAUAGAUAUGUCAUGGAACACCGAAAGCGAAGGCAGCUAACGAUACUUAUAUUGACGCUCAUGGACGAAAGCGUGGGUAGCGAACAGGAUUAGAUACCCGGGUAGUCC
rnacentral:rRNA from 1 species